CACGUAGGCGGGUUGUUAAGUCGGGGGUGAAAUCCUGGAGCUCAACUCCAGAACUGCCUUCGAUACUGGCGAUCUUGGAGUCCGGGAGAGGUGGGUGGAACUGCGAGUGUAGAGGUGAAAUUCGUAGAUAUUCGCAAGAACACCAGUGGCGAAGGCGGCUCACUGGCCCGGUACUGACGCUGAGGUGCGAAAGCGUGGGGAGCAAACA
rnacentral:rRNA from 1 species